rnacentral:rRNA from 1 species
GACGUAGGGGGCGAGCGUUGUCCGGAUUCAUUGGGCGUAAAGAGCGCGCAGGCGGCUUGGUAAGUCGGAUGUGAAAAUCCGGGGCUCAACCCCGGACCUGCAUCCGAAACUGCCCGGCUAGAGGUAGGUAGGGGAGAUCGGAAUUCCUGGUGUAGCGGUGAAAUGCGCAGAUAUCAGGAGGAACACCGGUGGCGAAGGCGGAUCUCUGGGCCUUACCUGACGCUCAGGCGCGAAAGCUAGGGGAGCGAACAGG